rnacentral:rRNA from 1 species
CAUUGUUGGAGAGUUUGAUCCUGGCUCAGGACGAACGCUGACGGCGCGCUUCACACAUGCAAGUCGAGCGAUGGCACCGGCCUUUGUGGUGGGUGUGCAGAGCGGCGGACGGGUGAGUAACACGUGAGUAACCUGCCCUGGGCGUGGGGAUAACCCUGG